ACUCUGAAAUAACAUAAUUGCUCAUGUCUUUCAGGUUAAGUGUGAGAUUGUUAUGAAAACCCAAAGACCCCGUGUGUUAAUUCUAAUAUUCUUAAAAAUGUUGAGCUUGGUAGCAGAAGUUCGAAGGAGGUGUCAUCUUGCUGACAUACUCGUAUCUGCUCACACCCUCCUGUUGCUUUUAUUUGCCUGUAGAGGUGUCCAAAAACCAGCAUCUGUUCCUCAGCUUCCAAGUGGUUGAGCAGCUCCUUAACUUUGAACGGUAUUUCUCAAGCUGAUCUGAGAGCUGCAGAGGGCUUCAUAGCUGAUUGUAAGAGGUUCUUGAAAUGUGACUAAAAUCUGAGGCUCACUCUUUGACAGUAGAUUUAGAUUUGCUACUUGAGGCUUCCCACCUUCCAGAAAUAACAGGACUUUAAAGAAGAUAGAAACCCAUUGGUACAAGGGAGCAUUCAAGGGUUCUUGAAUACUGUUCACAUGACUAUGAAUUCCUUCUAGAUAAGGAAAGAAAAACAUUGAUGUGGUGUUGGUUGCGAUGGCUAUAAAGCGUGUGUUUCUUGGCUUCUGAUUUCUUAAGAAAAGGUGCCGAUAGGUAUUAGCUGUAAGUCACACAGCUGUCAUUUUGUAGUAUAACUUUUUCUAAAAGUAAACAUGAAUGCACCUAAAAGAGGGUAGACCUUGCACUGUGUUGUAAUGAUAAAGGCCAUCUGUUACUCUUCAAUGAAAAUAAAAUUUCAGACUCCAAGGCUGCUUUCUUUUUGAAUGUGCCUGGUCCUUUCUUAUCUAGGAGCUCCUCUGGCCCAAACUGCUAACAUUAGCAGUUCAGUAAAUGCAUCCAUAGAGAAGGAGAGAAACUCCCUAAGCUUAGAGUCAGCCUAAGAACAAUAAGGGAUGAGUCUUCUAGAUCAUACCAAAAAUCUGUGUUGCCUUUACUGGGAUGCAUACUUUUGAUAGACUGGUCUUUAAUGAUCCCCAAGGCAGGGAUUUCUUGAAACACAGUUGAUGUUACUACGCCAUGAUCAGUUAUAGAAUAGAUUAAUUCUGUUUGGAAGGGACUUAGAAUGGUCAUCUAGCCCAACUGCCUGGCCCCUCCAGGGCUGACCAAAAGUUAAAGCACCUUGUCAAGGGCAUUGCCCUUGGGCCUCUUAAAUGCUGACAGGUGUGGGGCAUCGACCACCUCUCCAGGAAGCCUGUUCCAGGGUUCAAGCACCCUCUUGGUAAAGAAACGCUUCCUCACAUCCAGUCUGAACCUCCCCAUGCGCAGCUUUGAGCCAUUCCCAGGCGCCCUGUCCCUGGAUCCCAGGGAGAAGAGCUCAGCACCUCCCUCUCCAUGUCCCCUCCUCGGGAAGCUGCAGAGAGCAACGAGGUUGCCCCUCAGCCUCCCUCUCUCCAAACCAGACAAGCCCAGAGUCCUCAGCCUCUCCUCACAGGACAUGCCUUCCAGCCCUUCACCAGCUUUGCCCUUCUCUGGAGGCAUGUGAGUACCUGAACAUUCUUUUAAAAUUAUGGAGCCCAGAACUGCGCACACUGCUCAAGGUGAGGCCAUACUGACAAUAAAUACAGCUACAGAAUCACCCCUCUUGAGCCGCUGGUUCUGCUGUGUUUGGUGCACCCUAAAAUGCAGUUUGCCCUCAUUGCUGGAUCAUAUUGAGCCUGCCAUCAUCCAGCACCCCCAGGUCCCUUUCUGUAGGACUGCUCUCCACUCUGGCAUUACUCUGUCCCAGGUGCAGGAUCCAGUGUUUCUUAUUCAGUUUCAUGCCAUUGAUGAUGCCCAAUGCUCCAGUCUGUCUAGAUCCCUCUGCAGGGCCUCUUGUCCCUUGAGUCAACAGCACCUCCCAGUUUAGUAUUAUCAGAAGACUUGCUAAUGGUAAUUCAACUCCUACAUCCAGAUCACUGAUAAAAUUGCUGAACAGCACUGCCUCUAGAAUUGAGCCCUGAGGAACGCAGCUGGUGACUAGUCACCAGCCAGAUGUACCCCAGUUCAGGUCAAGCCUUUGAGCCCUGCCAUCCAGCCAGUUCUUCACCCAGUGCACCAUGAACCUGAGUAUCUCACAGCUGGACAGCAUGUCCAGAAGGAUACUGUGAGCGAUAGUAUCAAAAGCCUUACUGAAAUCCAAAAGAACUACCUCCACCACCUUCCCUUCACCCACUGGGUGGAUGGCCUUCCUGUAGGAUAUCAAAGUAGUUAAGCAGGACUUCCACUUCAUGAGCCCGUGUUCACUGUGCCUGGUGAUUGCAUUGUUCUUUAGAUGCUUUUCGGUAGCACUCAGUAUGAUCUUCUCCAUAUUUUUCCAGUCACUGAGGUUAAUCUAACAAGUGUGUAGUUUCCUGGGUCUUCCCUCAUGCCCUUCUUGUAAAUUGGAAUAAUGUUUGCUAGCUUCCAGUCAGUGGGGACCUCCCCAGACUCCUAAGACCUUUGCUAGAUGGUUGAGAAGGGUCCUGCUGCAACAUCCACUAGCUCCUUCCACACUCUGUGAUGAAUACCAUCUGGCCCUGUGCACUUAGGAACAUUCAGCGGGUACAUCUGGUCCCUUACAAUUUUAAUGUCCACAAAUGGAAAGGUCACCGCUCCUGCAGCCGUGGUCCUCUGACUUGGAGGACCAGGCAGCCCAAGGUCUAUAUUGGUACAGACUAAGGCAAAAAGAGUUGAAUGCUUCUGUCUCUUGUUCAUCCCUGUUUGUCAGGUGACUAUCUUCAACAAGUGUUGGUCUAAUGUUUUCCUUGAACCUCCUCUUACUAUUAACGUACUUCAAAAAGCCUUUCUUGUUGUUUGACAGUUGUGUUGACCAGUCAGUUUCAACCCUUGUUGAGCUUUUGCCUUUUGUGUCUUCUCCCUGCACGUGCAAACCACGACUGUAAUCUUCCUGUGAAGUAUGAACUUGCUUCCAGAGAUCAUACAAUUUCUUUUUCCUCUUGAGUUCCAAGAGGAUUCUGUGUUCAGCCAAGCCCUGCUUGCUUGACUUCUGACACAGUGGGAUUGCCUGCUGCUGUGCAAGCAAGGCUCUUAAAAGAAGAGGAAAAGAAAAAAAAAAAAAGUGGCUCUUAAAAA